ACGCUGGCGGCGUGCCUAGUACAUGCAAGUCGAACGGCUUUUCAUGAAGCUUGCUUCACUGAGAAGAUAGUGGCGAACGGGUGAGUAACACGUGGGUAACCUGCCCAUAAGAGGGGGGAUAACAUCCGGAAACGGGUGCUAAUACCGCAUAGUUUUCUUGAUCGCAUGAUUGAGAAAGGAAAGACGGCCUUUGUGCUGUCGCUUAUGGAUGGACCCGCGGCGUAUUAGUUAGUUGGUGAGGUAACGGCUCACCAAGACGAUGAUACGUAGCCGACCUGAGAGGGUGAUCGGCCACAUUGGGACUGAGACACGGCCCAAACUCCUACGGGAGGCAGCAGUAGGGAAUCUUCCGCAAUGGACGAAAGUCUGACGGAGCAACGCCGCGUGAGUGAAGAAAAGGUUUUCGGAUCGUAAAACUCUGUUGUCAGAGAAGAACAAGUUGGAGAGUAACUGCUCCAGCCUUGACGGUAUCUGACCAGAAAGCCACGGCUAACUACGUGCCAGCAGCCGC
rnacentral:rRNA from 1 species